rnacentral:rRNA from 1 species
AAGAGAAGCGAAACUGCGAAGUGGAGCAAAACUCUAAAAAAACAAUCUCAGUUCAGAUUGCAGGCUGCAACUCGCCUGCAUGAAGUCGGAAUUGCUAGUAAUCGUAGGUCAGCAUACUACGGUGAAUACGUUCCCGGGCCUUGUACACACCGCCCGUCAAACCAUGAGAGUUGGCAACACCCGAAGUCGGUAGUCUAACCGCAAGGAGGACGCCGCCGAAGGUGGGGUUGAUGAUUAGGGUUAAGUCGUAACAAGGUAUC